rfam:Turnip crinkle virus P88 protein, P28 protein, P8 protein, and coat protein genes, complete cds.
AUAGCCUCCCUCCUCGCGCGGGGGGGGGGCCUGC